GCGUCGGUGGUGCAACGGUUAGCAUGCGCUCCCGGAAAGAGUGAGACCUGGGUUCGGAUCCCGGCUGACGCU